CCUACGGGAGGCAGCAGUGGGGAAUAUUGGGCAAUGGAGGAAACUCUGACCCAGCGACGCCGCGUGCGGGAUGAAGGCCUUCGGGUUGUAAACCGCUUUCAGUAGGGAAGAAGCGAAAGUGACGGUACCUACAAAAGAAGCACCGGCUAACUAUGUGCCAGCAGCCGCGGUAAUACAUAGGGUGCAAGCGUUGUCCGGAAUUAUUGGGCGUAAAGAGCUCGUAGGUCGUUUGUUACGUCGGAUGUGAAAACCUGAGGCUCAACCUCAGGCCUGCAUUCGAUACGGGCAAACUAGAGUUUGGUAGGGGAGACUGGAAUUCCUGGUGUAGCGGUGGAAUGCGCAGAUAUCAGGAGGAACACCAAUGGCGAAGGCAGGUCUCUGGGCCAAUACUGACACUGAGGAGCGAAAGUCUGGGGAGCGAACAGGAUUAGAUACCCUGGUAGUCCAGACCGUAAACGGUGGGCGCUAGUUGUGGGAACCUUCCACGGUUUCUGCGACGCAGCUACGCAUAAGUAGCCCGCCCGUCGGGUAGGUACGAGUCGCGAAGAAGUUAAAACUUAACAAACUAGUAAGUUAGUACGGUUCGUUGUAGACGUUGCCGACGGCGACGACGAGGGAGGUUAGG
rnacentral:rRNA from 1 species